AAUUAUUUACACACAUAUACAUAUUGUUACAAAAAGUAGUAUUAAGUUGUAUUUGUAUUACUAUAUGCAUCCCUGAUUAUGAACAAUAGCUGUAGGUAUAUGGAAUAGCAUUUGUCUUGUUGUAGACAUCUGGCGCCACACUGUCUGCUCGUCUAGUUAAACAAUUGCUGAGUCUGGCGCCGCGACUGUCUGCUUGCGUCUGGCGCCGUAUAGCCGUAUGUUCUGGUAAUUUCCAGACGCGAUAUUCUAGAAGGACACGUCGGCAUCAGCGAGAAGUGCGUGGCUAUAGCCGUAUGUUCUGGUAAUUACAAGACGCGAUAUUCUAGAAGGACACGUCGGCAUCAGCGAGAAGUGCGUGGCUAUAUAAGCCGUGGCAGUGCCAACGUAAUCAAUCAGUGCUAAGAGUAAACUGCUAUAGUGUAGACGAGUUGUGAAAUAAAGAGUUGUUGAAUUAAAUUAAA